rnacentral:rRNA from 1 species
UACGGGGGGUGCAAGCGUUGUUCGGAAUUAUUGGGCGUAAAGAGCGUGUAGGCGGCCGGAUAUGUCAGAUGUGAAAGCCCCGGGCUUAACCCGGGAAGUGCAUUUGAAACUGUCCGGCUCGAGUAGGGGAGAGGGAAGUGGAAUUCCUGGUGUAGAGGUGAAAUUCGUAGAUAUCAGGAGGAACACCGGUGGCGAAGGCGACUUCCUGGCCCUAUACUGACGCUGAGACGCGAGAGCGUGGGUAGCAAACAGGAUUAGAAACCCUAGUAGUCC